GAUGAACGCUGGCGGCGUGCCUAAUACAUGCAAGUCGAGCGAACAGACGAGGAGCUUGCUCCUCUGACGUUAGCGGCGGACGGGUGAGUAACACGUGGAUAACCUACCUAUAAGACUGGGAUAACUUCGGGAAACCGGAGCUAAUACCGGAUAACAUGUUGAACCGCAUGGUUCAACAGUGAAAGACGGUCUUGCUGUCACUUAUAGAUGGAUCCGCGCCGCAUUAGCUAGUUGGUAAGGUAACGGCUUACCAAGGCAACGAUGCGUAGCCGACCUGAGAGGGGGAUCGGCGACAUGGGAGGUGAGAAGCGGACAGGGCGCCUGCGGGAGGAAGCAGAAGGGAAUCGUCGGCAAUGGGCGAAAGCCUGACGGAGCAAGUGGGCGUGAAUGAAGAAGUUCUUCGGAUCGUAAAACUGUGUUAUUGGGGAAGAACAAAUGUGUAAGUAACUAUGCACGUCUUGACGGUACCUAAUCAGAAAGCCACGGCUAACUACGUG
rnacentral:rRNA from 1 species